rnacentral:rRNA from 1 species
CAGUCGUACCUGCGGGUAAUCAGCCUUUUGGGCAUGAUUCUGUGGAGCGUGAGGAGUUAAACGCCUUCAUGCCUGCACCAUUCGUGUGCUUUGGGUGUACUUGCCUGUGUGGUUAGUUAACAUCAAUUUUGGUUAUCAUAAAAUGGUUGGAGGAAUGUAGCUUCGAUCUCGUAUUGAAGUGUUAUAGCCUUUCGGCUAGAUGUGAUGAUCGGGAUUGGAGGAUUGCGAACGGAUUACCCGUUCGGGG